rfam:Aedes albopictus isolate Foshan contig30389, whole genome shotgun sequence.
UGUUCUGUAGCUUAGUUAGUUGAAGCGCCGGCCAAGCCAAUACGGAGUCGUAAGUUCGAAUCCCACCAGAACGU